UACGGGGGGGGGCAAGCGUUGUUCGGAAUUACUGGGCGUAAAGGGCUCGUAGGCGGCCAACUAAGUCAGACGUGAAAUCCCUCGGCUUAACCGGGGAACUGCGUCUGAUACUGGAUGGCUUGAGUUCGGGAGAGGGAUGCGGAAUUCCAGGUGUAGCGGUGAAAUGCGUAGAUAUCUGGAGGAACACCGGUGGCGAAGGCGGCAUCCUGGACCGAUACUGACGCUGAGGAGCGAAAGCGUGGGGAUCAAACAGGG
rnacentral:rRNA from 1 species